GAAAAUUGUUCAAAUUCCGAGAAACCUCAUCAGAUACAAAAUAUGUAAAGUAAGGUACUACUGGAUGAAUCCCUGAGUCUGUUGCUAAGCUUUGUAGAGCUUCUUUAAAGAGAAAGGGAUUAGAUCUAUUCACUGUAAGCUCUUUAAUUUUUUCAUAAUAGAGCUGAAGCUCACGCGAUAGGACAUGCUUAACAGGUACUUUAAUAUCAACAGGAACUCCAUCCUCCUUAUACUCGGUAUUUCUAUUAUCAGACGGCAUAGCUAAGACUUCAGGCAGAGGGUUUUCAGGAAUAGCAGGUUGUACUCCUUCUAUAGCUAACCAAUGGGCAACAACAGCAGCAUCUAGUGGUGCUUUCGGCAAAGGAGCUUCGAUCACAUCUUUGAAUUCUACAUCCUUCUCUUCAAUAUAGAACAAAUCCUUAUGCCCAGCAGCUCUCCUGAAUCGUAAGGGAUCUCCCGAAGCAAAACCAUAUAUUGGCUCCACAUUUCUCAAGGUGAGUGCAGAAUCAACAUCAUCAGUAGAUAAAGUAGUUC
rnacentral:misc_RNA from 1 species